UACAGAGGUCUCAAGCGUUGUUCGGAUUCAUUGGGCGUAAAGGGUGUGUAGGUGGCGCGCUAAGUCGGGUGUGAAAUUUCGGAGCUUAACUCCGAAACUGCAUUCGAUACUGGCGUGCUUGAGGACUGGAGAGGAGACUGGAAUUCAUGGUGUAACAGUGAAAUGCGUAGAGAUCAUGAGGAAGACCAGUGGCGAAGGCGGGUCUCUGGACAGUUCCUGACACUGAGACACGAAGGCCAGGGGAGCAAACGGG
rnacentral:rRNA from 1 species